ACUUAGGUGCCAUUAGGCACCACAUCAAAUAGUGAAUAAACGCCUA
rfam:Nelumbo nucifera unplaced genomic scaffold scaffold00092, whole genome shotgun sequence